CCCUCUCCUCACCUCAUUGCUCGACAUUCUCACUUCUCAGCUCAUUCUUCUCUUCCCCAUUCUUCUCUCAAUUUUGCCAAAAACUUCAAUCCAAAUCGCCACAAAUCUUCACAUACUUACGUUUGGAGCACUCCUCUUUGAUUGUUUGGCAAUUCUAAGGAUCUAAAUGGCGCACCACUAUGCAUUCGUUGGCAAGCUUCAGAACCUUUAUGGUAUGGAAAAACAUUUAAAUGAAACUUCCGAGUCUUUUUUAGAGGAGUACAAAGCCUUAGGUGGCUUGUAUAAGAUGUUGUCGCUGCCUUAUUCCAAGAUUCCAACCCUUUUUUUGUCAAAGGUGUUGGAAUAUUACAAUCCCGAUUCCAACACCUUUAACAUUAAAGGGCAUGUGCUAGGAGUAACACUCCAAGAUGUGUUAUUCCUAGCGAGAAUCCGAAUUGAUGGCAAACCUGUGCUUGUCAAGGAAUACAACGACGAUCAUUGCAUCUCUAUUUUUGGGAAGGCUAUGUAUGAAUUUGAUGAGCUAAAGGCGAUUAUCGAGGAUACAGGAUCGGAUGCAAAGAAGCGCAAGAUAACGCUAUUGAUGCUAAUAGUGAACUCCAUAAUAAUGCCGUCUUAUAAUGGGAAUUGUUUUUAUCCCGCAUUUUUUGAAUUAUUAAGUGAUCCAGAUGAGACGUCUAUGACUUAUGCAUGGGGGGAAGCAUGCUUGCUGCCCUCCAGCAUCACUUGCAGAAGAGAUAUAAUAAAGUAGGUGGUUGUGCAUGGCUAUUAGUGUGUUUCUUCUUCGUUCGCAUCCCAAAGUUGUGGGAUUCCAUAGGCCUCACAUCAGUGAGGGAGGAAAUGGAGGAGGGGCAAUUGGCUCAAGAACCCAUUUCCGAUGAAAUGGAUAUUAAGGAAGCUGCAACUGUCCACCUUUGGCAAAGAUCAAAAGGGGGGUUACCUCAAGACAAUAUCCCCUGUUUUUGAGAACCUCGAAGACGAGAUAUGGUCACAAUUAACAUCAACAUUUUACCAAAGAAGAUUAUUCCUAGCUUUCCAAAUUCCAUAUAUGGCAGCAACUACAACAGCAUUACACACUGAUUUCUGAAACCUGCUGAGCCUGGUCUUCCUCUUGAUGCUCCUGAACACACAAAAGUAGCUUGCAUGCUUACAUCUGAUCUUGAGCCAAUCUUGUAACAGCUGCCAAAUAUGACUACUGACUGGGCACCCAAAAAACAAGUGCUCAUGAGUUUCUGAGUCACUUUUACACAGAACACAGGCAUUAGAGGAGCAAAGCCCCUUUCUCCAAAGCCUUGCACAUGUUUGUAGCCUCAUCCUCAUUACCAUCCAAAUAAUAACCCUAUGUUUGGGUAGAUCAAACCUAUUCCAAACAUACCCACUCCAUCAAACUUUCCCCUGCCUCUGUUCCAUCUUCUUGUAAACCAUGGCCACAAAGUAAUGAGUCAUCUGCUGUAGAUCAUUUCCCAUUCCCAUUGCCAUCAACUGCUGCUUCACACUUCUUCUGGAAUUUGCUCCACUGUAUUUGCUAAUUGAUCAAUUGACAUCUACGAAUAAAAGAAAUAUGUCUUGAACUCCAAGUUCUUAUUCUUUCUGUCAUCUUUUCAGUGAGCACCUCACAUUGUUUUAGGAGCUUCGGAGUAAACUGAAACAAGUAGGCCAUUUUAGGACUUAAAUUAUAUUGAAUUUUUUCGGGUUUUGAUGUUGCAUUUGAUGUUUUAUUGAUAGGAAAUUUGCUGGAAACCCUAUUCGAAUUAGGUGCUUCAAGACGAGCUGAAAGAAGAUAGACAGUUCAUAACACGACUUGGCCCGAUGUUUUGUAACAACUAUGUGGUUCAACAUAAACCACAUAAUGUUACAAAACAACUUGAAGCCUAUGAGCUCGACCCGAUCUUGGAUCCGGACAAGUUCAAUAUAAUUACUCAUAGGAUACAAGUUAUUGAUAAUCGUGGCCGUAACGGACACGAUUAUUUCGACUCGUAUAAGAAGGAGCUUGCAAUGUGGGAUAAAAAAAAUGUGUCUUGAAGUCGAUGAUAGCACUGAUGAUGAUGGUUCUCCUCCUCCUUCUUCUCGUGCUCCUCCUUCUCCUCAUUCUCCUCAUCGUAAACGUAGGUUUCAUGGAAAUGAGGAGUUUCGGAGAGACACUCGUCAACGAAACCGGCCUGAUAAGUUCACACCCAGCUUUCGGUGAGCUGGGUUAUUUUUCAGGAACUUGUAUAUUUGGCUCUGUUCACACCCAGUUGGUGAGCUGGGAUCUUUUUUAAAAAAAAACUUGUAUAUUUCUAGAACCAUUUGGUUCUUCUGUUUCAGAAGAAAAACCUUGUCUAUUUUCAGAAUCAUUUGGUUGUUGUGUAUCAGAACCAUUUGGUUAUUAUUAUUAUUAUUAUUAUUAUUAUUAUUAUUAUUA